rnacentral:lncRNA from 1 species
GGGUGUGCUACUUUGCCCUAGAGCUGAAAGGCACACCGUGCAGGCUUCUUUCCAAAGGGCGAUUUGGGCCCAACAGCAUCUUGCUUCCAGCUCUUUGGGAAGCUAAGAAACAACUCGCUCUGCACAGUGCUCUUACAGCCUCCCGGGAACAUCUCUUCCAAAGGCCUGUGAAACGCAGUUUCUUUGCAGGCCUGAUCUGGCUGAAGUAGGACUUCUGCUCUGGGUGUGCUACAUUGCCCUAGAGCUGAAAGGCACACCGUGCAGGCUUCUUUCCAAAGGGCGAGUUGGGCCCCACAGCAUCUUGCUUCCAGCUCUUUGGGAAGCUAAGAAACAACUCGCUCUGCACAGUGCUCUUACAAACUACCGGGAACUUCUCUUCCAAAGGCCUGUGAAACGCAGUUUCUUUGCAGGCCUGAUCUGGCUGAAGUAGGACUUCUGCUCUGGGUGUGCUACUUUGCCCUAGAGCUGAAAGGCACAACGUGCAGGCUUCUUUCCAAAGGGCGAGUUGGGCCCCACAGCAUCUUGCUUCCAGCUCUUUGGGAAGCUAAGAAACAACUCGCUGUGCACAGUGCUCUUACAGCCUACCGGGAACAUCUCUCCCAAAGGCCUGUGAAACGCAGUUUCUUUGCAGGCCUGAUCUGGCUGAAGUAGGACUUCUGCUCUGGGAGUGCUACACUGCCCUAGAGCUGAAAGGAACACCGUGCAGGCUUCUUUCCAAAGGGCGAGUUGGGCCCCACAGCAUCUUGCUUCCAGCUCUUUGGGAAGCUAAGAAACAACUCGCUCUGCACAGUGCUCUUACAGCCUACCGGGAACAUCUCUUCCAAAGGCCUGUGAAACGCAGUUUCUUUGCAGGCCUGAUCUGGCUGAAGUAGGACUUCUGCUCUGGGUGUGCUACUUUGCCCUAGAGCUGAAAGGCACACCGUGCAGGCUUCUUUCCAAAGGGCGAGUUGGGCCCCACAGCAUCUUGCUUCCAGCUCUUUGGGAAGCUAAGAAACAACUCGCUCUGCACAGUGCUCUUACAGCCUACCGGGAACAUCUCUUCCAAAGGCCUGUGAAACGCAGUUUCUUUGCAGGCCUGAUCUGGCUGAAGUAGGACUUCUGCUCUGGGUGUGCUACAUUGCCCUAGAGCUGAAAGGCACAACGUGCAGGCUUCUUUCCAAAGGGCGAGUUGGGCCCCACAGCAUCUUGCUUCCAGCUCUUUGGGAAGCUAAGAAACAACUCGCUCUGCACAGUGCUCUUACAGCCUACCGGGAACAUCUCUUCCAAAGGCCUGUGAAACGCAGUUUCUUUGCAGGCCUGAUCUGGCUGAAGUAGGACUUCUGCUCUGGGUGUGCUACUUUGCCCUAGAGCUGAAAGGCACAACGUGCAGGCUUCUUUCCAAAGGGCGAGUUGGGCCCCACAGCAUCUUGCUUCCAGCUCUUUGGGAAGCUAAGAAACAACUCGCUCUGCACAGUGCUCUUACAGCCUACCGGGAACAUCACUUCCAAAUGCCUGUGAAACGCAGUCUCUUUGCAGGCCUCAUCUGGCUAAAGUAGGACUUCUGCUCUGGGUGUGCUACUUUGCCCUAGAGCUGAAAGGCACACCGUGCAGGCUUCUUUCCAAAGGGCGUGUUGGGCCCCACAGCAUCUUGCUUCCAGCUCUUUGGGAAGCUAAGAAACAACUCGCUCUGCUCAGUGCUCUUACAGCCUACCGGGAACAUCUCUUCCAAAGGCCUGUGAAACGCAGUUUCUUUGCAGGCCUGAUCUGGCUGAAGUAGGACUUCUGCUCUGGGUGUGCUACAUUGCCCUAGAGCUGAAAGGCACAACGUGCAGGCUUCUUUCCAAAGGGCGAGUUGGGCCCCACAGCAUCUUGCUUCCAGCUCUUUGGGAAGCUAAGAAACAACUCGCUCUGCACAGUGCUCUUACAGCCUACCGGGAACAUCUCUUCCAAAGCCCUGUGAAACGCAGUUUCUUUGCAGGCCUGAUCUGGCUGAAGUAGGACUUCUGCUCUGGGUGUGCUACUUUGCCCUAGAGCUGAAAGGCACAACGUGCAGGCUUCUUUCCAAAGGGAGAGUUGGGCCCCACAGCAUCUUGCUUCCAGCUCUUUGGGAAGCUAAGAAACAACUCGACCUGCUCAGUG